GGGGGAGAGUGGGCCACGCAGGAAGGGGGAGAGUGGGCCACGCAGGAAGGGGGAGAGUGGGCCACACAGGAAGGGGGAGAGUGGGCCUCGCUGGGAAUAGGAGAGUGGGCCAGUGGUAUUACCUUUCCAGGGUAGCAACUCUUUCUGUUAAGAGGACAGUGCCAUCCAAAUGGAUGGAGUGGGCAAGAAGAAGCCUGAGUUGAGGGGUCCUGGGGGCUGGCACAGGCCGCCACAUGAGGACAGUUACUGUGGAGACCAGAGCUACAUGACGAUUGUAAUCAGAGCAACAACACUUGCUCGCUGUGCAGUCUCCGUCUGCUGUGGAGUUGGGAUAUACUCUGUGCUAUAUUCUGUGAUGUCGGGGCCUCUGGGACAACGUGUGCAGACAGUCUCUUUUCUAUCCAUCUUCCUGCCACCCAGCAUGAGUCAGAUUCCAGGAACCCUCUGAUUGCUCCUUCACCAUCUGCAAGCUCAGCAGAACUCUCAGCUACUUCUCCAGCACCAUGUCUGCCGGCAUGCCACCACGUGUUUCGCCAUGAAGAUAACUGACUAAACCUCCGAACCUGGACCGCAGAGGCCCAUGGGAACCCUGGAAGGCUGAACACUUUGAAGAAGCAAAGAGCCAGCUCUGCUUCUUGUGGGGGUCAAGAGUGGUCCCCUCAGCCUGCAGCCUGGGAGAAUGCUUUCGAGGCAGAAUCAUGUGCCUCCCAGAAGAAGGACUCCGUUCCUCCUAAGAGCUUCCUGAUGGUUUUGCAGAACUGCAACAGAGGCUGGGGAGAGAAGCCUGUGAUUACGUGAGCCAGUGAAGCCUGGAUUUUGAAAUUCCAUAUGACAAGCCCUGCUUACCUGAACAGUGGCUGGGAGUGGCCUUCUCUUGUACCCUGAACAGUUCUGCCUACAUGAUUCCUCUUACUGAGAACAUUCUCCCUCUCCAUCAGAAACUAUCCAAAUGGAUGAGAGUGAAAGCAAACACCUUAUAAAACAAUACUCCCGGAAGACGGCCUGAUGUGUUUGAUUAAGGGAUGGCCCAGAGUCUGUGGGUGAAAUUAAGCUGUCCCUCAUGUCUCGGGGCCUUGACCUGUACAGAGCUGCAUCACCAAUCCACUCCCCUUCACUCUCAGAACCCAGGAAGCAUGUUCCUAUGACAUUCGGUGCAGAAGAAAUGGAAUUGUGGUCUCAGUGCGUUGACCUGGGUGCCUCUUCCAUUCCUGUUGUGUUCGGCUUAAAUUCCCUCAGGGAAACCAGAACUGUACAGCAAACAAGCAGCUCCCAGGGAAGCAGAUGUGGUUGCACCCGGGGGGUUCAUGCCUUUCUAGUGCAGAAUUCAGCCGGGGAAAGAAGACAAGACUAUCCACCUCUGGGCCAACAGACACUCAGACCCCUAGCCAGUGAGUGUGAUAACUGCAAGCAGCAGCCAGGACCAACACACCCUUUAAAUCAGCUAAGACAGCUGGCAGCUGGAGUCUUACAAUCCAAGAAAAAAAAAAAAAAAAAAAAAAAAAGCAGGCGAGGGAGACGGAUCUGAUAGAAUCUCCACGGGGAAUGAAAGUUCAUAUUACAGAACUCUUAGUUGAAAAGGUCCCACAAGUCGCUCCAUCGUCCUGAACCUGUACAGAUGGCUCCCGGUGACAGCUGCGUGAUAAAUUGUGCACCAUGAGGUCACCAGCCCAGAUUUAUUUGGCUGUGUAUAAAUGUGCGAUGGUAGCUUUCUACUGCUGGCCUCACUCGGGGCAGUAAUGGCGAUAUAUUUAGAAGGAGAUGAAAUGAAAUCCAUCUUGGAUUCAGAUCAUCCUAAAUUCACGAAUCAAUAAUCAAGGAGGAGAAUCAAUGGGUGUUUUCUCAAUAUGCCACGACAGAGUUUUUCAUUUGACCGUGAUCUUGAGCUUAAAGGAACCCAAACGUGGAUGUGCAUGCUUGUUCUCAAAUCAGUAUCAGAAAGUGAUAACAUGGGGAAAGUCCCCUGAGGGAGAGCCCCUGGAACCUAACCUCACCCACCACGAUGAACAGAACUCAGUCCCAAUUCUUUGCAGCCAUGUCAUUUUGUGAUUCUAAUAUUCCACCAGUGUUAGAUAAAGAGACAUCAAGUUGGGGCACAGCAGAAUGCUGUUUGAGCAGCUCAUGUCAUCUUAAUUGAAGAAUUUUAUGAAAUGCAUUGUCUUAAAUAUUCUGAAAUGAU